rnacentral:rRNA from 1 species
GACGAACGCUGGCGGCGUGCUUAACACAUGCAAGUCGAACGGAAAGGCCCUGCUGUUGUGGGGUGCUCGAGUGGCGAACGGGUGAGUAACACGUGAGUAACCUGCCCUUGACUUUGGGAUAACUUCAGGAAACUGGGGCUAAUACCGGAUAGGAGCUCCUGCUGCACGGUGGGGGUUGGAAAGUUUGGGCGGGUGGGGAUGGACUCGCGGCUUAUCAGCUUGUUGGUGGGGUAGUGGCUUACCAAGGCUUUGACGGGUAGCCGGCCUGCGAGGGUGACCGGCCACAUUGGGAAUGAGUUACGGCCCAGACUCCUACGGGAGGUAGAAGCGGGGAAUAUCGCCAAAUGGGCGGAAGCAUGCUGCAUCAACGCCGCGUGCGGGAAGACGGCCUUCGUGGUGGACACCGCUUUCGCCUGUGACGAAUCGUGAGUGACGGUAAUGGGCAAAGAAGCACCGGCUACCCACGU